rnacentral:misc_RNA from 1 species
UUUCCGUAGGUGAACCUGCGGAAGGAUCAUUACAGUGUUCUCUGCCCUCACGGGUAGAAACGCCCACCCUUGUGUAUUAUAUCUUUGUUGCUUUGGCAGGCCGCCCUCGGGCACCGGCUCCGGCUGGAUCGCGCCUGCCAGAGGAAACCCAAACUCUGAAUGUUGGUGUCGUCUGAGUACUAUCUAAUAGUUAAAACUUUCAACAACGGAUCUCUUGGUUCUG